UAGGGAAUCUUCCACAAUGGGCGCAAGCCUGAUGGAGCAACACCGCGUGAGUGAUGAAGGGUUUCGGCUCGUAAAACUCUGUUGUUAAAGAAGAACGUAUCUAAGAGUAACUGCUUAGGUAGUGACGGUAUUUAACCAGAAAGCCACGGCUAACUACGUG
rnacentral:rRNA from 1 species